rnacentral:rRNA from 1 species
GAGUUUGAUCAUGGCUCAGAACGAACGCUGGCGGCAUGCCUAACACAUGCAAGUCGAACGAAGGCUUCGGCCUUAGUGGCGCACGGGUGCGUAACGCGUGGGAAUCUGCCCCUGGGUACGGAAUAACUCCGAGAAAUUGGAGCUAAUACCGUAUGAUGACGUAAGUCCAAAGAUUUAUCGCCCAGGGAUGAGCCCGCGUAGGAUUAGCUAGUUGGUGGGGUAAAGGCCUACCAAGGCGACGAUCCUUAGCUGGUCUGAGAGGAUGAUCAGCCACACUGGGACUGAGACACGGCCCAGACUCCUACGGGAGGCAGCAGUGGGGAAUAUUGGACAAUGGGCGAAAGCCUGAUCCAGCAAUGCCGCGUGAGUGAUGAAGGCCUUAGGGUUGUAAAGCUCUUUUACCCGGGAAGAUAAUGACUGUACCGGGAGAAUAAGCCCCGGCUAACUCCGUGCCAGCCGCCGCGGUAAC